UGACUACCUACGGGAGGCAGCAGUGGGGAAUAUUGCACAAUGGGCGAAAGCCUGAUGCAGCAACGCCGCGUGAGCGAUGAAGGCCUUCGGGUCGUAAAGCUCUGUCCUCAAGGAAGAUAAUGACGGUACUUGAGGAGGAAGCCCCGGCUAACUACGUGCCAGCAGCCGCGGUAAUACGUAGGGGGCUAGCGUUAUCCGGAAUUACUGGGCGUAAAGGGUGCGUAGGUGGUUUCUUAAGUCAGAGGUGAAAGGCUACGGCUCAACCGUAGUAAGCCUUUGAAACUGGGAAACUUGAGUGCAGGAGAGGAGAGUGGAAUUCCUAGUGUAGCGGUGAAAUGCGUAGAUAUUAGGAGGAACACCAGUUGCGAAGGCGGCUCUCUGGACUGUAACUGACACUGAGGCACGAAAGCGUGGGGAGCAAACAGGAUUAGAUACCCUCGUAGUCCACGCCGUAAACGAUGAGUACUAGGUGUCGGGGGUUACCCCCCUCGGUGCCGCAGCUAACGCAUUAAGUACUCCGCCUGGGAAGUACGCUCGCAAGAGUGAAACUCAAAGGAAUUGACGGCCACC
rnacentral:rRNA from 1 species